rnacentral:rRNA from 1 species
UACCUGGUUGAUUCUGCCAGUAGUCAUAUGCUUGUCUCAAAGAUUAAGCCAUGCAUGUCUAAGUAUAAGCAAUUAUACCGCGAAACUGCGAAUGGCUCAUUAUAUAAGUUAUCGUUUAUUUGAUAGCACAUUACUACAUGGAUAACUGUGGUAAUUCUAGAGCUAAUACAUGCUAAAAAUCCCGACUUCGGAAGGGAUGUAUUUAUUAGAUUAAAAGCCAACGCCCUUCGGGGCUUCCUGGUGAUUCAUAAUAACUUUUCGAAUCGCAUGGCCUUGCGCCGGCGAUGGUUCAUUCAAAUUUCUUCCCUAUCAACUUUCGAUGCGAAGGUAUUGUCUUCGC